rnacentral:rRNA from 1 species
UACGUAGGGGGCAAGCGUUGUCCGAAUUUAUUGGGCGUAAAGCGCUCGCAGGUGGUUCGUCGCGUCGUGCGUGAAAAGCGACCCCGGCUGCAAGCUGGGGGAGGUCGUGCGGAUACGGGCGGACUGGAGGCCAGUAGGGGGAUGCGGAAUUCCGGGUGUAGUGGUGGAAUGCGUAGAGAUCCGGAGGAACACCAGCGGCGAAGGCGGCAUCCUGGACUGGUCCUGACACUCAUGAGCGAAAGCGUGGGGAGCGAUCCGG